rnacentral:rRNA from 1 species
AGAGUUUGAUCCUGGCUCAGAACGUACGCUGGCGGCACGCCUAACACAUGCAAGUCGAACGAAGUAGCAAUACUUAGUGGCAGACGGGUGAGUAACAUGUGGGUAUCUACCCUUUGGCCUGGAAUAACACGAGGAAACUUGUGCUAAUACCGGAUAAGUCUUUACGGAGAAAGCUUUAUGCACCAUUGGAUGAGCCCGCACUUGAUUAGUUUGUUGGUAGGGUAAUGGCCUACCAAGACUAUGAUCAAUAGCUGAUUUGAGAGGAUGAUCAGCCACAUUGGGACUGAGACACGGCCCAAACUCCUACGGGAGGCAGCAGUGGGGAAUCUUGCACAAUGGAGGAAACUCUGAUGCAGCGAUGCCGCGUGAGUGAAGAAGGCCUUUGGGUUGUAAAGCCCUUUCGUCGGGGAAGAAAAUGACUGUACCCGAAUAAGAAGGUCCGGCUAACUUCGUGCCAGCAGCCGCGGUAAUACGAAGGGACCUAGCGUAGUUCGGAAUUACUGGGCUUAAAGAGUUCGUAGGUGGUUGAAAAAGUUGGUGGUGAAAUCCCAGAGCUUAACUCUGGAACUGCCAUCAAAACUUUUCAGCUAGAGUAUGAUAGAGGAAAGCAGAAUUUCUAGUGUAGAGGUGAAAUUCGUAGAUAUUAGAAAGAAUACCAAUUGCGAAGGCAGCUUUCUGGAUCAUUACUGACACUGAGGAACGAAAGCAUGGGUAGCGAAGAGGAUUAGAUACCCUCGUAGUCCAUGCCGUAAACGAUGUGUGUUAGACGUUGGAAAUUUAUUUUCAGUGUCGCAGGAAACCGAUAAACACACCGCCUGGGGAGUACGACCGCAAGGUUAAAACUCAAA